UGGGGAAUAUUGCACAAUGGGCGAAAGCCUGAUGCAGCAACGCCGCGUGAGUGAUGAAGGUCUUCGGAUUUGUAAAGCUCNGUCUUUUGGGACGAUAAUGACGGUACCAAAGGAGGAAGCCACGGCUAACUACGUGCCAGCAGCCGCGGUAAUACGUAGGUGGCGAGCGUUGUCCGGAUUUACUGGGCGUAAAGGGUGCGUAGGCGGAUGUUUAAGUGAGAUGUGAAAUACCCGGGCUUAACUUGGGUGCUGCAUUUCAAACUGGAUAUCUAGAGUGCAGGAGAGGAGAAUGGAAUUCCUAGUGUAGCGGUGAAAUGCGUAGAGAUUAGGAAGAACACCAGUGGCGAAGGNGAUUCUCUGGACUGUAACUGACGCUGAGGCACGAAAGCGUGGGUAGCAAACAGGAUUAGAUACCCUGGUAGUCCACGCCGUAAAACGAUGAGUACUAGGGUGUAGGAGGUAUCGACCCCUUCUGUGCCGCAGUAAAAC
rnacentral:rRNA from 1 species